rnacentral:rRNA from 1 species
GACGGAGGUGGCAAGCGUUGCUCGGAUUCAUUGGGUGUAAAGGGCAUGUAGGCGGCCUGGUAAGUCCUGAUUGAAAUCCUCCAGCUCAACUGGAGAACUGGUCGGGAAACUGCCUGGCUAGAGUGCGGAAGAGGAGAGCGGAAUUCCCGGUGUAAGAGUGAAAUCUGUAGAGAUCGGGAGGAACACCAGUGGCGAAGGCGGCUCUCUGGUCCGCAACUGACGCUGAGAGGCGAAAGCUAGGGGAGCAAACAGG